rnacentral:rRNA from 1 species
AUUGAACGCUGGCGGAAUGCUUAACACAUGCAAGUCGGGCGGUAACACUUCGGGUGACGAGCGGCGGACGGGUGCGUAACGCGUGAGAAUCUACCUUUUAGUGGGGGACAACCCGAGGAAACUCGGGCUAAUACCGCAUAUGUCCUACGGGAUAAAGCAGGGGACCUUCGGGCCUUGCGCUAAAAGAUGAGCUCGCGUUAGAUUAGCUUGUUGGUAGGGUAAAGGCCUACCAAGGCAACGAUCUAUAGCUGGUCUGAGAGGAUGAUCAGCCACACUGGGACUGAGACACGGCCCAGACUCCUACGGGAGGCAGCAGUGGGGAAUAUUGGACAAUGGGGGCAACCCUGAUCCAGCAAUUCCGCGUGUGUGAAGAAGGCCCGAGGGUUGUAAAGCACUUUCAGUAGCCAAAAUGGGAUUUUACACUAAUAUUGUGAGAUCUUGAUAUUAACUACAGAAGAAGCACCGGCUAACUCCG